AAGUCGUAACAAGGUCUCCGUUGGUGAACCUGCGGAAGGAUCAUUACCGAUUUUUAGCGGACCUGAUCUUUGAUCAUGGUCUCGCGAAAACUUGUAUUUAAAACCCCACUCUUAUAAAUUGAAUCAUUUUAUAUGUAUAUAAUAAAUAAAGAUCACUUUCAACAACGGAUCUCUUGGCUCUC
rnacentral:misc_RNA from 1 species